rnacentral:rRNA from 1 species
AUUGAACGCUGGCGGCAGGCCUAACACAUGCAAGUCGAGCGGAGCGGCGGACGGGUGAGUAAUGCCUAGGAAUCUGCCUGUUAGUGGGGGAUCACUUACGGAAACGGGCGCUAAUACCGCAUACUAUCAGAUGAGCCUCGGUCGGAGUAGCUAGUUGGAGGGGUAAAGGCCUACCAAGGCGACGAUCCGUAACUGGUCUGAGAGGAUGAUCAGUCACACGGGAACUGAGACACGGUCCAGACUCCUACGUGAGGCAGCAGGGGGGAAUAUUGGACAAUGGGCGAAAGCCUGAUCCAGCCAUGCCGCGUGUGUGAAGAAGGUUUUCGGAUUGUAAAGCACUUUAAGUUGGGAGGCGUUACCAACAGAAUAAGCACCGGCUAACUUCGUGCCAGCAGCCGCGGUAAUAC